rnacentral:rRNA from 1 species
AUUGAACGCUGGCGGCAGGCCUACCACAUGCAAGUCGAACGAGUGGCGGACGGGUGAGUAAUGUCUGGGAAACUGCCCGAUGGAGGGGGAUAACUACUGGAAACGGUAGCUACUACCGCAUACCAUCGGAUGUGCCCAGGGGGGAUUAGCGAGUAGGUGGGGUAACGGCUCACCUAGGCGACGAUCCCUAGCUUGUCUGAGAGGAUGACCAGCAACACUGGACCUGAGACACGGGCCAGAAGCCUACGGGAGGAAGCAGUGGGGAAUAUUGCACAAUGGGCGCAAGACUGAUGCAGCCAUGCCGCGUGUAUGAAGAAGGCCUUCGGGUUGUAAAGUACUUGCAGCGAGGAGGCGUUACUCGCAGAAGAAGCACCGGCUAACUCCGUGCCAGCAGCCGCGGUAAUUC